CCCACCCAUCCCUUGUCAUGCAAUGGACUAUUCCAUGUUACGAGGAGCAUGUGCAGAUUUAAUCCGGAAGACGGGAGCAAAACAAAGUUGUUGGCACGGUUUGGAGUUACCCUAGUGGAGCGGAGAAGAGGAGAAGGCGAGAGGACAGCAAACAUUUUUUUUUGUUUUUUUUUAAUCAAAACUACCGAAGUUGUCAAACUUUUUCACAGUCACAACAAACGUACGACCACAGCAGCACCGCUACUGUCAGUAUAAACCGAAGAAAAUGCAGUUUUAGAGAUGCAACUGAAAGUGUCUCUUUUCAUCAGAUGCUGUAACGCAGACGCACCUCCCACGCCUGCAGGGCGUCCUUACUGUCGAAGCCCAGCAGCACCGCCUGGUUGAGGCAGAGAAUAGCUAGCGUGAAGGCCACGUCCUCAUAGCACUGUCCUGUUUCCAGGCCGCAGAUGUCCUCCAGGGUGACGGCGGCGCGCUCCUUGUUGCCCUCGGCUUUGUCGGACUUGUCUUUGAAAACCAGCAAGACUAAGCAAUCUGGAGGAGUCCAAAGAGUUCAUAAUCCGAACAAAUGGGAAAUGGGCCGGCAUGGUGAAAGAGUGUACAAGAAGUUACUACGUACUUGCGAAAGAAACAGUGUGCCGCAGAGACGACCCAGCAGGAAGAGAUCAAGGAUCCAGCGCAGAAGUCAGACUGUCCGAUAUAAAUGGCUGCCAUCCAGGGAUGAGUACCAGGAAGUGCCGAGUUUCCUCCCAUGAUCCUUCCUCUGGCAAUCGACACUCUCUUCUUAUGCUUCGUACCGCACGUCGCCUUCUUCGUAGCCGCCUUGGACGGGAAGGCACUGCGCAGUACUCCCAGGAGAUGGCGCCCUUGCUCAGCGUGUAACACCACGGCAUCUUGUCACCAUCGGGAUUCCUGCACACACAACAGGACAAUGCAGCCCACCUGACUUUUUCCAGAGGAAUAACAUCACUCUUUUGGACCACCCUGUGUGUUCCCCUGAUCUAAAUCCAAUUGAGAACAUUUGGGGAAGGAUGACAAGGAAGGUUUACAAAAAUGGACAUCAAUUCCAGACAGCGGAUGCCCUCCGUGAAGCCAUCUUCACCACCUGGAGCAACAUUCCCACUAGCCUCCUGGAAACACUGGCAUCAAGCAUGCCCAAACCCAUUUUCCAGCUGAUUAACAAGAAUGGUGCAGCUACUCACCACUGAGUCCUUUGUUGAACUUUUAUUUCUAUUUUGGGGGGUUUCAGAUUUUUUUGAGCUAUGAUCAGCUGAAUAACAGCCUAUUUCACUUCAAUGCUUGUUUGAAAUAAAUUGCUUACUAAAUUUUGUUAUUUGGUCUUACUCCCAUUUAUUCUUUUUGCAUUUUGAAGCGCUACAUAGAACCUCCUUAGGAGAACUGCACUUUUUUGGCAAUUUUGCCCAUCAUCCACAAUCCUUAUGUGAGACAUGAACAUGCAUGUAUUUCUCUUUUCUGUGCAUUGUAAAUAUAUAGAAAGAGACAAGUAAUUAAUGCACGUACUGGGACACACUUGUGCCGCUUACAA